rnacentral:rRNA from 1 species
UACGUAGGUGGCAAGCGUUACUCGGAAUCACUAGGCGUAAAGCGCAGGUAGGAGGUUUGGUAAGUCUGUUGUGAAAGCUCCCGGCUCAACUGGGAGAGGUCAACGGAAACUACCAGGCUAGAGUGUGGUAGAGGAAGAUGGAAUUCCCGGUGUAGCGGUGAAAUGCGUAGAUAUCGGGAGGAAUACCUAUGGCGAAAGCAGUCUUCUGGACCAUCACUGACUCUGAUCUGCGAAAGCUAGGGGAGCAAACAGG